rnacentral:rRNA from 1 species
CCUACGGGAGGCAGCAGUGAGGAAUAUUGGUCAAUGGGCGGAAGCCUGAACCAGCCAAGUAGCGUGCAGGAUGACGGCCCUACGGGUUGUAAACUGCUUUUAUACGGGAAUAACCCGCCUUACGUGUAGGGCUUUGCAUGUACCGUAUGAAUAAGGACCGGCUAAUUCGGGUCCAGCAGCCGCGGUAAGUCGGAAGGUCCGGGCGUUACCCGGAUUUUUUGGGUUUAAAGGGAGCGUAGGCCGCAUGUCAAGCGUGCUGUGAAAUGUUCGGGCUCAACCCGGGCCUUGCAGCGCGAACUGGCGUGCGUGAGUCCGCGGAGAGCAGGCGGAAUUCGUCGUGUAGCGGUGAAAUGCUUAGAUAUGACGAAGAACCCCGAUGGCGAAGGCAGCUUGCUGCAGCGGAACUGACGCUGAUGCUCGAAAGCGCGGGUAUCGAACAGGAUUAGAUACCCGGGUAGUC